AGAACAGGUGAGAACGGAUGAGAACAGGUGAGAAUAGGUGAGAACGGAUGAGAACAGGUGAGAGCGGGUGAGAACAGGUGAGAACAGAUGAGAACGGGUGAGAACGGGUGAGACCACGUGAGAACGGAUGAGAACAGGUGAGAACAGGUGAGAACGGAUGAGAACAGGUGAGAGCGGGUGAGAACAGGUGAGAACAGAUGAGAACGGGUGAGAACGGGUGAGACCACGUGAGAACGGGUGAGAACGGGUGAGAACGGGUGAAACCACGUGAGAACAGGUGAGAACAGGUGAGAACUGAUGAGAACGGGUGAGAACAGCAGAGAACGGGUGAGACCGGGUGAGACCGGGUGAGAACAGGUGAGAACAGGUGAGAACGGGUGAGAACGGGUGAGACCACGUGAGAACAGGUGAGAACAGGUGAGAACAGGUGAGAACGGAUGAGAACGGGUGAGAACGGGUGAGACCACGUGAGAACAGGUGAGAACAGGUGAGAACGGGUGAGACCACUUGAGUACGGGUGAGACCACGUGAGAACAGGUGAGAACGGGUGAGAACAGGCGAGAACGGAUGAGAAUGGGUGAGAACGGGUGAGACCAUGUGAGAACAGGUGAGAACGGGUGAGAACGGGUGAGAACGGGUGAGAACGUGUCAGAACAGGCAAGAACGGAUGAGAAUGGGUGAGAACGGGUGAGACCAUGUGAGAACAGGUGAGAACAGGUGAGACCACGUGAGAACAGGUGAGAACGGGUGAGACCACAUGAGAACGGGUGAGACCACGUGAGAACAGGUGAGAACGGGUGAGACCACGUUAGAACGGGUGAGACCACGUGAGAACAGGUGAGAACGGAUGAGAAUGGGUGAGACCACGUGAGAACAGGUGAAGUGGAUGAGAACAAGUGAGAACAGGUGAGAACGGGUGAGACCACGUUAGAACAGGUGAGAACGGGUGAGAACAGGUGAGAAUGGGUGAGAACGGAUGAAAAUGGGUGAGAACGGGUGAGAAC